UUCAUGCUGAGCAGAGCCAUCUGCUGUACUCAGGCCAGCGCCAAUCCCGAAGCUCAUCUCUUCUUUGGAUGCAAAUUAUCUCCCACAUUCUGGAGCAGAGAGUUCCAUGUUUCUGAGGACCCUUCAUACUUCAAGGUCAAGUCCAAGAACCACAUGGCAGCCAUGAUCUAGUUUAAAGAACACUAGGCCAGCCUCUGGAGACCCAGAUUUCAUUUUGUUUCUGCCAGUUACUCACUGUGUGAACUCGGGAGCUGACGAAUGAGCAGGGAUAGAAAAAAAAAAAAAACAAAAAAAGGAAUUAAAGGUGACAAGUACUGUACCAGAGGACUCUGUCAGGGGCAGUAUCCAGAGAAAAUGAAAGGAUUUGGACAUCUUUUAAAAGUUUGUUGUGCUAGGAUGAAACACACAUCAUGAAACGAAGCAGCCAUUCAAUG